CCUACGGGAGGCAGCAGUGGGGGAUAUUGCACAAUGGGGGAAACCCUGAUGCAGCGACGCCGCGUGAGUGAAGAAGUAUUUCGGUAUGUAAAGCUCUAUCAGCAGGGAAGAAAAAAGACGGUACCUGACUAAGAAGCCCCGGCUAACUACGUGCCAGCAGCCGCGGUAAUACGUAGGGGGCAAGCGUUAUCCGGAUUUAUUGGGUGUAAAGGGUGCGUAGACGGGAAAUUAAGUUAGUUGUGAAAUCCCUCGGCUCAACUGAGGAACUGCAACUAAAACUGGUUUUCUUGAGUAUUGGAGAGGAA
rnacentral:rRNA from 1 species